UUGAGAAUAUCCCUUAGCAGAAUGUAACUCUUAAUCAGGGUUGUUUAUUCACGCCGGGAGCACGGCAGGUCAUGCUGCUCACUUGGUGCCAUUUGGUCUGCCCUGAGCCUUCCUGGACAGGAAGUCCUUAAGAUUAAAGAUUAUAUUUUUAUGGUCUCAUGCCUGCCUACUCCAAGCUAUUAACUGAAGAGAAAUGUAACUAGAAGUCAAUUUGUAGAAAGGAUAUUAACGGUCUUUGGUGUGUGUCACGAUGAAAAAUAGGAAGGAAUCGUGGUGGAGUAGUGGAGAGAAGAAACCAGCUUGGUUAUUGUUUGGAGUAUCGGAAAUAAGAGUAUUUCUGUGUGGAAGCGGAAUUGUCAUUGCAUAUGUAAUUAAAACAAAAUGGAUAAAAAACGUAGAUAUUAGGAUAUUAACAGUGUACUUGAUGCUGUGACGUAUCCUACAAUUGUCUAAAUGCAACGCCUUUUGAAAAUCUCAUCUCUUCACACCAGCCUGGUGGGUGACCUGUGGUUCUGCAUUUUAUAAACAUGCCCCUUGGGUUUAUAUUUUUGCAUUUACUGUUUGUCAAGAUAAGGUAACAAGGCGUUAUGUA
rnacentral:lncRNA from 1 species